CACUAUCGUUAACUGAAUACAUAGGUUAACGAGGCGAACCGGGGGAACUGAAACAUCUAAGUACCCCGAGGAAAAGAAAUCAACCGAGAUUCCCCCAGUAGCGGCGAGCGAACGGGGAGCAGCCCAGAGUCUGAAUCAGCUUGUGUGUUAGUGGAACGGUCUGGAAAGUCCGACGGUACAGGGUGAUAGUCCCGUACACCAAAAUGCACAGGCUGUGAACUCGAAGAGUAGGGCGGGACACGUGGUAUCCUGUCUGAAUAUGGGGGGACCAUCCUCCAAGGCUAAAUACUCCUGACUGACCGAUAGUGAACCAGUACCGUGAGGGAAAGGCGAAAAGAACCCCGGCGAGGGGAGUGAAAAAGAACCUGAAACCGUGUACGUACAAGCAGUGGGAGCACCUUCGGGUGUGACUGCGUACCUUUUGUAUAAUGGGUCAGCGACUUAUAUUCUGUAGCAAGGUUAACC
rnacentral:rRNA from 1 species